AGUCACAAAGCAUUUGUGCCAGCCUCUACCUUGCCUCCACAGCCCUCCAUUUCCUGCUUCUGCUGCCAUCUGAAAGAGCAUGUGUGAGAGACAGAAACCAACUAAGAUGAGAACACUUUUGUAUAAUGUAAGGUAGAGCACCUCUUUACUUCUGGCCAAACUCGGGCCUUGACAGGCAUUACUAGAGCAUUCUUCUGUGUUAUUUGGGAAGGGAAAGAAGAAAUGUGACUAACAUGUCCCUCAGAUUCAAAAGGAAGUGACAAGGCCCAGCCCUACCAGAACUUGAAGGAAAGAGGAGGAGCAGAGCUAAACUAUAGCAACUUCACGGGGAAAACCCUUUCCUGCGGGAGCAAAGCUGAUACACUGGGGAAGCCUUUCCCUGAAGCAGGAUUGUAAGCUGCUACACUUACUGUGACCUGUGGUUUUCCUUGGCUGCCAAGCUCCAGGAUACCUCUCCAUCUGAACAGUGUAACAUUCAGAUCUGCGAAAGGAAUGUGAUUGGUUCAGGAAGGUCUCAGAGCAGGGAAGACCUCAAUCAAGAUGGCACAUAAAGUUAACAAGGAAUGCUCCCGGGCUGCAGUUAGAGAUUAAAGGAAGGAACCAGAGAUCAAAGGAGAACUGUUCAUCUUCAACAAUGACACUUGUCUGGUAGAAGAUGGCACAAACAGAACUUGACAACAAAUGCAAAGCUGAUGAGUUUAGCCCACCCGAUCGUGAGGCUGGUCACUGUACUACUCUGUUCAUGGAUAUAAGGAAAGGAAGUCUGAAUUUGGCUCCUUUAAUGGUAUAGACUGUGGGAUUUUCUGCACUGAAGAUGCAAGGCUUGGGAAAAAGUGAUCCCGGUUUGCAGCUCCUUAACUAGCUCUGGGCUGGCGAGUAUGACAACUGAAGAUCUGAGAACAGAAGAUAAAACAUGAAUCAGUGGAGACCUUAGGAUGGGUCAGAGAGCUGGCUUUAUCCAGAUACACUACACUCAAGUUACCAUACAUGAGCUGUGUUCUAGACUGGUCUUUGUAUGUGCCGGAGAUACCCUUUGUGUAUAGUGUCUUCGUAAAGCAAAAUAAUUUCCAGCUUUGCUUAUAACACUAGUGUGAUCAU